rnacentral:rRNA from 1 species
UACGUAGGUCGCAAGCGUUGUCCGGAUUUACUGGGCGUAAAGAGCGCGCAGGCGGCUGGUCAAGUCCGAUGUGAAAUCUCCCGGCUCAACUGGGAAACUGCAUCGGAAACUGAUCGGCUUGAAGAUGGGAGAGGGUAGUGGAAUUCCCGGUGUAGUGGUGAAAUGUGUAGAUAUCGGGAGGAACACCAGUGGCGAAGGCGACUACCUGGCCCAUUCUUGACGCUGAGGCGCGAAGCUAGGGGAGCGAACGGG